ensembl:snRNA U6 U6 spliceosomal RNA
AUGCUUGCUACGGCAGCACACAUACUAAAAUUGGAUCGAUUCAGAGAUUAGCAUGGCCUUUGCGCAAGAAUGACACACAAAUUCAUGAAGCAUUCCAUAUUUUG